UGGCCGCGCGGCGCUGCCAUCAACACGCCAAGAUGGCGGCCCUCACGCCGCCCGCCCGCCCGUGCUGCGUCACGCCGCCCCCGGCCCCGCCGCGCGCCCGCAGGUUUCCUCGCGGUUUUGGCGAAGUCGGGACGCGGAGCGCUUUGGUUCCGUCCCAGCGCAUCGCAGCGGCCUCAGGUAGCGACCCGCGUGUGGGGAGGGCGGUGUGAGCCCACCGGGCUGUGCUGGGGUGCCGCGGGACCCCCAGGGCUGCCAGAGGGGCCGGCCUGCAGGGCUGUCAGCAGGGAAAGGUGAAACGGGGCUGGGAACGAGCGCCUUUGAAAGCGUAGAGAGACGUGAAGCACUGGAAGAAAAUCCGUGGAUGGAGACGUGUGCUGGGCUGUGAGCUCCGAGCUCGUCAGCCUGUGUACGUGCAGCCUGACUGAGGCAAUGUGGAGAUCGGUGCGUGCUGUGGACCGGCUUUCUGUUGGAAUGAGGGUGAGCUCCUCUCUGGAGAAAAUGGCAUCAGCAGUGAGUGUUGGUGCAAUUGGGGUGGGAUGGUCUUUGUGCCGGGGUGCUGCCGUGCUUCCUUCACACAGCAUAACAGCAGCUGCUGGAGCAUGGGAUGAAAUCUUGGAGCUGAUCAACAGCAGUUCUUCUCCGGUCGCUUUGGCCUCUGAAAUGUAGGAUUCCUCUUUCUACUUUCAUUCUGUUCAGCUGAAAUCGGUAGACUUUUACUGCUGGGAUAAUAAUGGUAACGUAAAAACAUUUCAGAGUGGGAACAAAUUGUUCAUUUCUUGCUUCCCUUUCAGAAGCCGUGGCUGUAUGUACAGGAUUUCAUAAGGUUGGUUUUCUAACAAAGUUUUGCUUGUUUUUCCUGCAGCAGAUGAUGAUGUAAUGAAUUACAAUGGAUGGUAAAGCUGCACGUUUUAGACUAUAUGUUUAAGUCAUCUGUCUCAUCAUCUGACAUCAGCAUUGCAUAAUCUGUUGACUGUCCCCCUUUUUAUGUAAUGUAUGUUUGUAGUUUGUUUUAAAAUGUACAAAUAUUUUUUUCCACUGCGUGCUUCUGCUCAGCUAUUUCAUGUUUGUCUCUCCAUUGCCCUCUUCAGUUAGAAACUUGUAAGACACCAUUUUGAUAGCUGGGUCCAUCCGAGCGCUACGUCUUUCUCUUUUAAAAACAAUCUCCAUGACAUCUCUGGAUGUGCCCUUCCCAGGUAAGUGGGCUGCUUACAGCACUGACCCACAUCUGGAGUUUCUGCCCCCUCCUGUUUGAAAUAAAGGGGCAUCUUGUACUGAUUAAGUCCAUCAGCAUCAUAAAUGAAGCUUUUAUACUAUACUAGAAGCAAAUUAAUUAUUAAUACAGGUAGACAAAAGUUUAACUUGCUUGCAGUAUACCUGUUUAUUUCACAAUUUUAUGUUUGGAUCUUACCACCUAAAAACGCCAGCUGCAUAGCGAAGCCUCUAGAGACUGUGGGCAUCUCUCCUGCCUGUUCCAGCUGCAGUCUCAGCACAGCUGGCUGCUUGUUGUUCGGUGCUGCUCCAUCAGACCCAUCAGCAGGCAUAGGAGCAGAUAUCUGCCAUCCCAGCUCUCCGAGCACAUGUGACCAGCUCUGAUUAAGCCCAGCUGAAUGUGUUCACAGCGCUGUAAAAUUCCACCGCCCGCCAGCCUGCUCUGCUGCCUGGGUGAGAGCCCGGCCCGCUCGGUGCAGUAUGCAGCGUGGUCACAGUGUGGUGCUACCCUCGUGCUCGUGCUGUGAGCAAUCCCAGCCCUUAGCUGUUGCACGCAGUGUGGCACCAUUAACUCACCUGGCCCGUGGCCAGGUGUACAUGCUGUCUAGUUCAUGGCAUUCAGCACUUGAGUAGCAGAAAACAAAUGCUGCCUUCGAGCUGCAAUGAAUUUAAGGAGGAGAGGGGAACGCCUUCACUCUCUCCAGCUUUGUUUGUAAAGAGAUAAGUUAACAUUUCUCCCUUCAGUCUAGCAUUGGUGAGUUGGAUUUUUAAGGUGAUUCAGCCAGAAGUUACAGUUGCACUAUGAUCUUAAUAAUUUCUUGCACUGAAGCCCCAGAUGCAAAGCCUUCUGUAAGAUGUUCCUGAGCCUCUCACCUGGCAGCUAGGGAACCCAUGAGGGUGAUCUGAGGUUCUGAGACAUGUGAGGGAUGGGGAAUGGAGGAAGCACCUGCUGAGCCUGGCAGCAUUGCGGAGGGGCCACGAUGACUGACAGGCUGCCCUGGCUCAGUUAUCACAGUGCUGAUGCUGUCUCUUGUAAAGGUACAGUACUGUGAUAACUGAAGGAUGGCAGCCAUCUGAGCUUCAGAGGCCCUUGUCUGCAGCUGAUGGAUGGACAUUCAGCACAGCAUCCUGCUGAGGUGGGUGUCUUCAUUCUAAACGUACCCUUAAUGUAAAAGUCAAGGUUUACUUGAAUAAAGAUUACACUUUAUUGACAGCUUGCUUCUUAAUCAGCUGUUUUGGUGUGUGAGAUCUUCCAGAAAUGCUAUGCUUGAGCAGCUUCAAAAAUGGUUCUGAAAGGGUGAAAAAUGAUUCUGGAAGGGUCCUGUGCAGGUUGGGGAGUACUGGAGUGGGGAAAUGAGAAGGUGUGGGUCAUAUACUUGGUACCAGAGCACAGGGAAACUACUCCUUUUUAGAUGCAUUUUAAUGCUGCUUGUUACAGAAUGCGUGGUUUUUAUGACUAGUGCCCUAACUUGCUGUCUAUACCCUCUGUUAUGUGGAUGUAUGCUCUGGGACAGGGCUCACUUCAGUCUCUCAUCAGUCCAGGACCGCACAGCUGCAAGCAGCUAGCAGUUGGGUUGUUACAGGCUGGGAUUUCCCUGCCUCAGUGACUGGAACUACAAAUCCCUCAGGUAACUUCCGUCACAGUUCCACCCAAACCUCUAGGAAAGGCUCUGGGGUCCUUGGCACUGCUGCAGCCUCCCCUCCUCACCCUCGGGGCAGCAGCAAGCCUGGAGGAGCUGCAGUACUCUGCAGAGCUUGCUGUUUAGUCUUGAACUGGAGUUAGAACAGAGUUCUUUAACCCCACAGGAUUCAGAGAGCUCUUCCUUCAGGGCUGGGUGAUUCAUAACUGCCCGGGCCUUGCCCUGUGCUUCCCUGCUGGGGAGGACGAGGAUUGCCUCAGCUCACGGUCACUCAAGCAGCAAUUACGUAGUUCAUGUUUUUUCUGAUCUUUACUGGAAGGCAGCUCUGCCAGGCCAUGCUGCUGGCUGUCUGUGAGCCAGCAGAGUCAGUGCUGUGCCACUGCCAUAGAGCAUCGUGCCAGCCUGCGUCGUCUGAGCAGGGAAAAUUAUUGGUGCUGAUAGCUGCUGGAAUCUGCUUGUGGAGGAGGGCUCUGUCGUACCAGAUGCUGUGCAAAUGAUAAAAAGACAUCCUGCUACCAAGAGUUAAAAGUUCUAGAUAGAUUAACAUCUAAGCAGAGCCAACCCUCGACUUCCUUUCUGCCUCCUCCCAGAGCCCGAGAGGAGGAACCCCUGGCCCCAAAAUGCAGGGCUGGUCACCUCCCCAGCAGCACAAUGCCCUCGUUGCCCUUUGUAUGUCAUGCUGCGCUCACUGCAGCAUGGAGCAGCUGGCUGGGACUGGUCUCUUCCCUGUGAGAAGCAAGAUAACUGCCUAGGGGCAGACACAAGUUUUGCUGCCUACCUGCUCUGAGGAAUCAGGUUCGCUGCCUGCCUAGUUUGAGACAGGAUUUUGGGGUGGUAAGCUACCUGGGCCAUUGAGUGAGACAUCAGAACUGCAGCAUGCACCGAGUGUUGGUGAAAGAGAGCAAAACUGCCAGUUGAAAUGACAUGCCUCUGGGCUUCAGAUUGUGAUUCUCAUUUCCUGUCAAAAUAAGUACAGCUUUGAGUUCUGACAUGGGACAGGAACUGAAAAUGCUGUCUGUGCCUCAAAACAACACCUCUGUGAUCAGAUUUAAUGGGAGCCUUUAUCUCUCUCUAGUUUAGCAGACACAGAGUCCGUCUUUCCUGUAGCUUCCUACUGAUAUCAUAAUCGGACAGACAUAAAUACCCGUGGGUUUGCCGUGUCUAAAUAUUGCUACAUGCAAACACUGCAGCUCUCAAGUCCUUUUUGGCAGUGAAAUGCUUCCUCCCACUGUGUUAAAGCGAGAUGUAAACAACAUGCAUAUAGUGACGUAUCGUACCACUUUCUGCUCAAAAUAAGCCCUCUGAAGACAGCCCAUUUUCUGAUGAAAUGUUUUCUAAUGUACAGUUUUGAUCCCAAGGAAAGCCCAUUUUCUUGUGACAUCUCAGCUGUCAUUCUGGAUGGAUUUGUUCCACCUCAGUGGUUCUCAGGCUUUUUUAGCAGGAAAGUCCCUCUUCCCAUCUGGAGGCUGUCGCUCUCCCACCCACGUUCUGCCUGAGAAGAACAGCAGUUCUGCUCCUGUGUUAUCUCCUCGGGGCUGUGAUUCUGCAGACCAGAACAGCAGCUCUGCACCUGGCUCUCGUCCAUCAGCCAUCCUUUUAAGGGGAGAAGCAAGCUGCUACCUGCUUCUGACAGCAGUGGGAUGAAAGGCAUCCAUUGUCUGUUAGCACUGAACCUUGGAACCAGGUGGAGCUUUUCUUUUCCCAUUUUUUUUUAAGAUUUUUAUUUAUUAAUGUGACUUCUCUUACCAUACAGCAGGAAGCAUCAGUACCAAAAGAUUUCAUUUUGUUUAUACCAAGAGGGAAAAGAAUCCUUCCCAACAGAGUUCCAAGCACGCCGUUAUUGUUCCAAAGUCCAGCAGUGUCACAUAUGAAUCAGACACUGAGUUACUGUUCAUUCAGACUGUCUCUGAGUAGUGCAAACCAACUCCACUUGAACUUUAGUCCAGGCCUUCCUGAUGAAACGUUUUUCUGUAUCAAGUAGCCUAAUUGUAAUGUCUUGGUAACUGCAAGUCUCAGAUGUACCAGAAUGUAACGGUGACAAACUCGGUUUUAGGUCAGGUCAAACAGUUUCUGAAUGUGAGCUUAGAAAUGUCGGGCAAAGCAGAAUAAAUAAAACAAGAUUCUGGUGAAGUCUGCUGGCUUGAUGGGAAAUGUGACUAGCUCAGCCCUGCUGUGUUAUUUUUCUUCAGAUCUAGAGGUAUUAUCUCCGCAUACCACCUCCAUCAAAUUCUUCUCUGCUUUAGCUGCCUGCAAAGUUUCAUGAGUGUGAAGAGAAUUCAACACUCGUUGUUUACAGAUCUGCUCAGCUCAACAGUGGCAAUAUUUUCACUUUCUAGCAUGAAAUCAGAUCGAUGUGUUCCAGCUGUAUUCCACUGCAGCUAUUCCCAGCAGAGUGCUGGGAUUUCCUUCUUGCCUCUGUUGCCAGGUGAGGGGGGUCCUUUUCCACGUGGAGCAAACAUACGCAGUAACAGUGAUGGCAAUGACACGUGCCUCUUACUGGGAAAAGAAGUCCCCAAGUGCAGUGUGUGACCAUUUUGGGGGGUUGGACCCGAUGAUUUCUGGAGGUCCCUUCCAACCCUUAAUGAUUCUGUGACUUUUUCCUUCUACAUACAAUAUUUCUGCCUCUGUAUGUUCCCUUCCUCAUGCUAAAACCAUGUGUGUGUGGUGGGGAGGAAUUUCGGUGCUGCUGAACGUUUUUGAGCUGAAACAAACUCUGGGUUUUUGACAGUAUCGUGAUUCACAAAGGGAAACAGUGACUUAAAUUGAUGUCUGAUUGGGGACAGAACUCCGCAACAGGAACUGAGUGUUUCAGUGUGGUGUAAUGUCAGAGUUACUGCUAUCGGUUGUGUGCAGGCAGAUGAUAAAGUCCACACUGGGUGCCUUGGUAUCUAACUUGCUCUUCAUUACAUUUCUCAAGAAGAGGAGAGGGCCAUGGAGGAGUGUGAGUGAGUAUACUCUGAUGCAAGGUCAUGCGAUUGUAUUGUGCUAAUAUUACAUCUUCUGGGACCAAACCCUGCUGGAGCCACAGGUGGGACCUUCUUUGACUCCAGCUUUGGCUCAGACACAUGCUUUUCUUCAGAUGAUGAGUAAAAUUCUGGUUCUGAUCUCCAUUUCCCCAUUGACUUCAAGAGGAUGAGGGCUGCACUUAGUCUUUUGUUUUUAGAGCUACGUGGGGAUGUUCAUCUGAUAGUGGGAAAAGCCUCAUUCAACUGCAGCAGAAAUUAGGUAAACAAGAGGUGUGACUUCUGGCUGUGACCUGGAGGUGGGCAUAGUAGGGGCCUCUUUCUGCCUAAAUCCCUCGAGCAACCUCCAAACAUAGAGAUGUAUGUGUUGGCACUGUAAGUUUCAACUUCUGAGCUAAAAUAGCCCCUCCGUGGUACCUCUGGCAGUGGCAGGUGAGUACAUUGCUCCUGACUCCAAGCAAAAACACCUUGCUGUUAAGUCCAGUGCUUGUGUGGGGCUUGGGAGGGAUGGAGAAGGCAGGUGGUUAUCAGUGGCCCCACAGCUGCUGUUAGAUUUCUCCCCAUGGUGAGCCAGAGAGCUCGCUAUUGACCAACCUCCAUUUUAAUUAACUCCAGAAGCUGGCAGAGUACAUUGAAUAAUUUGAGAGAGACAUGUUUAAACAUUUGCACAAGCCUCAGAUUCCUCCUGGCUAAAAAUAAGCCUGUGAGAAAGAAAACGAUUCUCAUUCGAGGUGCCAGCAGAUGGACAGCAGAGGCACAGACCCCAUCCCAACACCAUCAUGUCGCUGCUCCCAGGAGGACAUUGGCUGUAGGGCUUAUCCUCUCUGCUGGGACCAGCCUGAGGGUGGUGCAAAGCAAAGAUAUGAACUCACAGAUGCCCUCUGAGGACAGCAUUUUGGAGCAUAAGUGGUUCUUCCACAGGGAGAGAUUUGUGCCUUUCCCACCGUAGCUGAGCACCAAUGGGCAGAGCCAGUGUGCCAGGCUCCGUUCUGAUGUUCUCCUGAGUGCUUGAGAUUGCUUACCAGUUUGGUGCAUUUCAUGUAUAAAAUAUAUUGGCUUUGUGUCCCCAGGGUGACAAAAAAUGUAACGAGUUCUUUUUUGGAAAAAUUUCCAUCAUGUGCAGAAUGACAGCUUCUCAGGGCAGCGUGUGAUGCUGCCCCACCAGCAGCCAAAGCCUCGCUGCAUUAAAUGCAGCGCUCCAGGGGACUCUGGAAAUUAAAGCCCCCAGAGGUUAUUGCUAAUGAAACCUAAUUAAAUUUGGAUGUAAAUGUAGCAUGCUGUUGCAUUUGCAUCUAGGUUUUGAUGGUUUACAUGUAUAUGUAUGUAAAUUACAUAAGCAAGUUUGUAUACUUGUAAGCAUGCAAACAAGCAUCUGUGCAUGAACAAGUGCUUCUUACUCUGGUGGUGUGGCUGCAGUGUGCCAGCACCUAACUCACAGAAUCCUAGAAUGGCCUGGGUUGCAAAGGACCACAGUGCUCAUCC